CAAAGGAAAAAAAUGUAUGUAUAUUUAUUUGGUGUACUAAUGCUGACUUUUCUUGCGUUACAACUUGCAAGUAUUAAAAUUUAAACUUGCUAUGUUAGAAAUAAUUUGAUACAUUUUGGAAGCUUAUUCGUCAAGUUAAAUGCACAGUAAUAAAAUAUCAACAAAGACUUGUAUUGUGUUAGGGUUUUACAUUAUUAUUAUUUUUGAAUACUGUGAUAUCUAGAAUGUUUUGCCCUAAAUAAAUUUAUAUAUUGAAGACUGAAAUUUGGACCAUAUAACCGUAUAUUUUUUUUAUCAAUAAACAUUUCAUAAACCGAAAAUGAUCACACGUUUUGCUCGGUGACAAAAAAGUGUACUAAAAUGUAUGUUUGUACAUAGUUGUUUUAGAAUUAUUAUUUAGAUAAGGUUUAUUAAUACAUUGUAAAUGUGUAAAAAGUUAUAAGACAUAUGUGCAUUAAUAUUUUAUGGAAAUCUUCCAUAAAAAAAAUCAGUAUUGCAGAGUUGGGCAAAAUGCCAAGAAAAAGCAUUUGAAAACUUUUUCAUAAUUUUGUAAAAUAUUUUGUAUAUUAUUAUUUUUUUUUUUUAGUUUAUUAAGCAUAGAUAGUAUACCUUAAUCAGUAGACAUUUUUUUUGUUUUAAAGAAAAUCAUUAUUCAUGGUCAUAAUACUUCUCUAGCCAUGUUUACUUUAAUAUUAUACAAUAUGCUAUAUGAAUAAUAUAUACAAUUUAGUCUGUACUUAUGCAAUAUGCAUAUAUAUUUAAUAAUUUGUAUCUAAUUACUAUACAUUUUAUAAUAUUAUGUUUAUCCUUAUAUCAUAAUGUUAUAAUUUAUGAUUAAAAAAAACUAUGGAAUACGCUAUUCACUACUUGGUUUUUGGACAUCAACAAAAAAAAAUAUGUAUUAUCUGUUCCUUACCAUAGGGACCAUAAUAUUAAUAUGUUAUAUUAUAUUCUAAUUAUCUGAAACAAUAAAAUAAUUAUAAAAAUGUAAAAUUAUAAAUUCCUAUGAAUAAGCGUUGUAUUUUCCAAUUGAUUAUAUUGAACCAACCAUUAUGUUAACUGCGAAUUGGAAAACAAAAUGGUAUAUUAUUAACACUUAAUUACAAUAUUAAUAUUUUAACCUUAAUAUUUUACCUAUUGACAUACUGCCCAACUCUGUUAAUAUGGUAUUGUAUUGAAAAAAAUUAAAAUACGUUUUUGUUAAAUAUUUGAUUAUUU